rnacentral:rRNA from 1 species
UACGAAGGGGGCUAGCGUUGCUCGGAAUUACUGGGCGUAAAGCGUGCGCAGGCGGUUUUGUAAGUCAGAUGUGAAAUCCCCCGGGCUUAACCUGGGAACUGCGUUUGAAACUACAAGGCUAGAGUGUGGCAGAGGGGGGGUGGAAUUCCACGUGUAGCAGUGAAAUGCGUAGAGAUGUGGAGGAACACCGAUGGCGAAGGCAGCCUCCUGGGCCAGCACUGACGCUCAUGCACGAAAGCGUGGGGAGCAAACAGG